CCACAUUGCCAGAUCAGUCAACAAAUGGUUGUCAAUGGUAAACAGUCAUAUGUUUACGGUCAAUGGUAGUCAAGUAGUCCGAGUCAAAACAAAGCAAACAUGUAGUUAGAUUUAAUUGUGUAUAUUAAUCUUGAUUUGAGAGAUAUCGCUAUACUUUAAUAUCAGCUAUCUUAAGAAAUUUUACGAGCUGAGAAAUAAUAGAUACAUCCUUCGUUAGCAAGAUUUCCUUAAUUGUGCGAAAAGUAUUAAAAAAGGCAAAAUCGCAUCUAAACGCAUUAUAUUUAGCGCAGAAGAAGACCGAGUGAUCAAGGCUUUCUUCAGUAUCACACAAAGGACAAAUAUUCGUUGGAAUUGAACCUAUCCGAUACAAAUAGAGACGACUUGUGAUACCACGGCUUUGAUGGUAGCUCUGGGAAGAUUUCCGCAAAGAAAGCUCCCUUGUGUUGCGAUAAUAGUUUGUAUUCCUGAUCCCAUUCUUCCCUUAAGGAAUUGUAAAUUUUCCGAAGAGCAUCUUUCUUGCUAUAUCGUACAUCUAUAGUAGUACCACUGACCAACGCUAUUUUUGCAGCCCUGUCCGCCUUUUCAUUCAGAACAAAACCGCUAUCAAGACAGCGCAUUUAAUCGCGAUUAAUUCAGCCGACAGAGAAGACA